CAAAGGACCUGCAUAUUGUUAAGAACAGCUGCAAAAUGUACCAGAGAGAAAGAUCACAGCCUUGGAUCAAAUGCUGCAUGAGAGACAUGUAAGAGUUUUAAUCAUGGAGUGCAGUAGACUAGCUGGGACGUCUGUGACAGCUUGAUUUCUUCCACAUCUCAGAUUUCCACAGUGUACCCCGGUGUUUUCUCACCUUCAGUCACUCAUAGGCAUCUUAGGUGAGGAAGCUGAGAACCAGAUAGAUUCAUCCAGUGUCCUAGGACACACGGGAUAGAACGCAAGGAUCUCACUUAGCCCAGUGGAUGGCAGUCAAUUAAUGGAGCGAGUGGCUUAGU
rnacentral:lncRNA from 1 species